rnacentral:rRNA from 1 species
UACGUAGGGGGCAAGCGUUGUCCGGAUUUAUUGGGCGUAAAGAGCGUGUAGGCGGCCAAGCAGGUCCGCUGUGAAAACUCGAGGCUCAACCUCGAGACGUCGGUGGAAACCGUUUGGCUAGAGUCCGGAAGAGGAGAGUGGAAUUCCCGGUGUAGCGGUGAAAUGCGCAGAUAUCGGGAGGAACACCGGUGGCGAAGGCGACAUCCUGGACCGGUAUUGACGCUGAGGCGCGAAAGCCAGGGGAGCAAACGGG